rnacentral:rRNA from 1 species
CCUACGGGAGGCAGCAGUCGAGAAUCAUUCACAAUGGGGGAAACCCUGAUGGUGCGACGCCGCGUGGGGGAAUGAAGGUCUUCGGAUUGUAAACCCCUGUCAUGUGGGAGCAAAUUAAAAAGAUAGUACCACAAGAGGAAGAGACGGCUAACUCUGGGCUAGCAACCGCGGUAAUACAGAGGUCUCAAGCGUUGUUCGGAAUCACUGGGCGUAAAGCGUGCGUAGGCUGUUUCGUAAGUCGUGUGUGAAAGGCGCGGGCCCAACCCGCGGACGGCACAUGAUACUGCGAGACUAGAGUAAUGGAGGGGGAACCGGAAUGCUCGGUGUAGCAGUGAAAUGCGUAGAUAUCGAGAGGAACACUCGUGGCGAAGGCGGGUUCCUGGACAUUAACUGACGCUGAGGCACGAAGGCCAGGGGAGCGAAAGGGAUUAGAUACCCGAGUAGUC